CCCCUCAUCGACGAAGAAGUGAUCGGCUAUAUCAUGGCCGAUCUUGGGCCAGAGUUUGAUCCCCUCAUGGCCUCCCUCUCCGUGUAUAAUGCUCCGGUGAGUUUAACCGAGUUUUACGUGUUUCUUCUCAGUUUUGAGG